GAACCAUCUGGCUUUCUAUUCUCAGGAGUGACGAAUUUUUUUAUCGUCUCUUGCAUUAUUGAAUCAUCCUCGAUUUUUGCUUUCUCAAAAAUCAACUCGAGGACUCCGAAGGGAAGUUGGUUCUCCAGCAAGAACAAGUCAUGCUCCACAAAUUUAUUUGGUGAUCUCUAAGAACUUCACUCAUAUCGACUUUGCGGUCAUAUUGUUGGUUGCAGAUGAAUUGUAGUAAAAAACACCCAUCCAGAAGCAUUAUCCAGAUGGUGUUGCAGGCGGAGCAACUAGAGCUGCAUUGACACAACAUAAACGUUGCAGGUAUAUCUGCCGAGGAAGGAAGCCAGGAGACAGUAGAGACAAUGGUUGUCAUGGCUUUCGGAAUGCUUCUUGCUUCUGUAGCUAUUUGGUCACCAUGUUUCAUAUGUAUGGUAAGUUCUGAUUCAAUUUCUGAUGCUCAAAUUUGUACUUA